UUGCCCCAAGGCAAGCAAAGUCUCCAAAUAUCAGCGAGCCCACGCUCUUGGCUUUUUAACUUAUCCAAAUCACUUGGCAAGUUUUUCUACUCGAUAUUUGUUUUGUUUCUUUUUCGUUUCUGUUGAUUUGAUUUAUUUAUUUAUUGUUGACUCUGCUCGCCCGGCUCGGCUCUUCGACUCGAGGCAGGCGCCUCAAUAAUCGCCAGCCGAGCAACUGAUUAGCUUAAUUUUCCGGAUGGUGAAACUGCCUCGAUACCAAUAUCAAAGUUUGUUU